rnacentral:rRNA from 1 species
GAUAAACGCUGGCGGCGUGCCUUAUGCAUGCAAGUCGAACGGUUCUUGGCCCUUCGGGGUUAAGGAUAGUGGCGAACGGGUGAGUAACACGUAAGUAACCUGCCCUUAGGUGGGGGAUAACUCCGAGAAAUCGGGGCUAAAACCGCAUGUGGUAGCGGGUAGUAUGACCCGCUAAGAAAGACUUCGGUUGCCUGAGGAGGGGCUUGCGUCCGAUUAGCUUGUUGGUGGGGUAAUGGCCUACCAAGGCGACUAUCGGUAGCUGGUCUGAGAGGAUGGUCAGCCACACUGGGACUGAGACACGGCCCAGACUCCUACGGGAGGCAGCAGCAGGGAAUAUUGGACAAUGGGCGAAAGCCUGAUCCAGCGACGCCGCGUGAGGGAUGAAGGGCUUCGGUUCGUAAACCUCUUUUCUCGGGGAUGAAUAAUGACAGUACCC